GCAACAUAUUUUUCACACAUUUUAGCAUAGAAUCAGCAUGCAAGUACACUAACUUCAGUCCGAGAAGUCACCACAGAGUUCUUAUGGCUCCUGGACGGUUCCUUUGUUACAGUACACAUAAAAUAGAAUCUCUAAGCAGGGCUCAACAUUUCUAUUCCUAGUCCUAUGCUACUAGCCAGGUUUAACAUUUACUCACUUGGUAAUUAUAGUUAACUUGUUCAGUGACCAAUACAAUAUUAAAGGAACUCUUCAAGCCCCAUGAACACUACUGUCAUGGUUCUGGUGACAAGAAGCCCUGGAGCACCCAUUGUAAGUAGUCAACCAUUUGCCAAUGGUUUGACUUUUAGCUAGGGUCUACUAGACACCACUCUCUGACUCUAUGAGAAGCAGAAGCUCUAAGCUAAGUCCAGCGAAGGUGGGCUAAGCUGAUUGCCUGACAGCCGAGGCUCUCUGCUGACGGGCUGGCCCUGCAUAUUAGGACUUAGCUCAAGAGAGUUAAUAGAAGUUCCAUGCAGAAGUGAUUGGCACAAAUGGAAACUGAGGUAAGAUGUCAAAUCUUUCGCAAACUGUCUGACUGGUAGAUUUCAACAAUGCCAAACUGCUGGUGUCCGACUCUAGUAUUUGUUUGUACUGGACGGCCGCUGGUUAAAAACGUACACCUGCUGCUAUCACCAGUUUUGCCAUCAUUGCUUCCCCAAGGCCAGUUUCCUCAAUGCAUUUUAUAUAUGCAAAACUUUGGAGCAUUCGAUUGGAUGUGUUAAUGCGACUAGUUUCGGGAAUGAUAGAAUGGUGAAUUUGACCAGGUGGAUUGUUGGAUGAAAUGUGGGACAGGGCUGGAAGAUGGCAUGUUCAUAUGUAUGGCUACUUGUGUUGGGUGAAAGAUGCUCGUAGGGUGGCCAGUGUGGGAGGGAAGCUGUUAUGGGGUUGUUUGUAAAUGGGACUGUAUGCGUGUGCAUGUAAAUAGGGGCUGUAGGUGGAUAAGGGCAGUAAAGUGUGUUUAGGGGAAUAGGAUCUGUAGUGUGUGUUGGGGUGGAUAGGGGGUUUUGUGUGUGUGUUGUGGUUGAUAUGGCUCUGUAGGGUGUGUUUAGGGGGAUACAAGCAGUACUCUGAAUUUGGGAUAGAGGCUUGGGCCUUCACACUCUGCAGCCCCAAGACAAAAGAGACUUGGGAUUAAAGAGUGUGCAAUGGGGAAAUUGGGACUGUAGUGUAUGUGUGUGUGGGGAGAGGGAUAGGGGCUGUUGAGGGUGAAAUAUGGCUGUAAUGUUGGGGGACAGGGACUGUGGUGGGGGAAUGUGGCUAUAGUAGGGGGUAUAUGGGCAGUAAUGUGUAGGAGGAUAUAGGAUGAACUGGGGGAAUAAUAAUUAUUCAUUCAUAUUAAACACAAUUAUUAUUAAUAUAAAUAUUAAUGACAAUAUUAAUUAUUAUAGGACCACACCCACAAUUGGGACAUAAAGAGAUGCCUACUAUUUUAUCUAUGAGUCUAGUUCACUCUAAUUGUAUAACUUAAUACAAUAUAACAUACAAUAACUACAUCUCUUAAAUAUAUAAUGUAUUGUGACAACAGCAAUCUAUAGGAUAGUGACAUAAUCAGUGAUCACACAACAUCUAACAAAGACAAUUGCUUUAAACAUGUCAUAAUAUAAUCUCCAUAGUAAAUCAUGAAAUCUGGAUAAUGAGGAAUGUAGUUACUGGCUCAAAGAAUUUAUCACCAACUAAUGCAAUAACUAAACAUAAUAUAUCGCAUUAGCAAUUUUAUAUUCUUCACCAUAAUAUGACAUGGUAUCAUAUUGCAAGAUCUCCUGCAAUAAUGAAUCAUAAACCUUAAACUAUUCCAGGAGUUUUAAACAGGACAAUAACCCACACUUGCUGCUUCUACAAAGAACCAAAUCACUUGUAUUAACAAUCUCUAAUAAUAAACAACUAUUUUCACAAGCAAAAUUUUUUUUUUCCAAUCCACUCAGCAAUUAAACGCUCUUGGAAUUGAAAAUUGACAAUAUGCAAAGACAUAAAAAAAAAA